AAAUAAAGCUUAGGCUAACAACAUUGGUGCAAUGGGGCGAUUGCGUUAGACCUACAUAUGUAUUUAUGUACAUUAUAUGUCAAAAUGCUUCACAGCCACAUGGAUUAAACUAAGGUAAAAUGAUUUCGUACUUGGGCUUUUACUUGGAAUGUUUACCGUCUCCCAUCCAGAAAUCGUGACCGGAAGCAACAUUUUGUAUUUAGGCUAGUUUCACGCUGCUUUACUCUCGUGAACGACAAUGGGACAGUCAAGAAGCAGAACGUGAUGUUGUGUACCUUUGUGUUCUAACAGCAAUACAUGAACAGACCAAUUUAAGUUUUCACUCAUUCCCCCAUUAUGAGAAUCGUAAGAGAGUAUGGAGUCAAGCUAUCAAGAGGAAUGAAGGACACGGUUAUUUGUAGCAUGCACUUUCGCAGCAAGCCUGUAUACAUCAACCAGUGGUCUGAACAGGAUUAAAAGAUGACGCUGUGCCUUGUAUUUCCCCAUGGUCUCUGACAGAACCACAGACAAGAACUACGUUUUUGACAUGUUGCCUGACAGGUUUACGUUUGGUGUUAGUCGAGUGGUACCUUUGGAGGAACUUUGCCGUGAUGGAGAAGAGAAAACGUUGACAUUGCUAGCUUUGCGGGAGACCAGGACUACCAUGCACGUAUCACCAGGUGCAUUGGAUGCAGCUCUAGCGAGGAAUUGGAAGCGCAAGUCAGAAGACUGACAGUCAUGCAGUAGCUUCAGAUCGGAAUAACUGCUGUGAUUCACCACGGUGGCACACAAGAUAAGGCUAGUGACAGCAAAACAAGCAAAGUGUGUAUCUCCCUCUCACGUACGCAGACACACACUAUGAUCAGAAAAACAUGAUGACAAAAAGUUGAAGGAAUUCACCAACUACUGCUGUCCCCUUGGGGCCGUCACGAAGUUGCACCAGACAAGACCAGUGGUGGCGAACUAACCUGGGUGUAAUAUAUAUAUGUAAUAUUUUAUUUUUGGGUGGGGUUUUCCCCCAGAUAACUUCAUGUGGGAUGCCUCUGUGAUGGCAUUGAUGUUGGGGCAUUUUAGACUCCACCAGCCCAAAGUGAGGAUCUCUGGGGUCCACAACCCAGCCGCCUGGACUUGCUACCAGAUGCGUGCACAGCAAAGCCCCGGGGGUAGACAUGUACUUGGCAAAUGUCUGUAUACUGCUAGAGCACUUCUGUCACCAGCUCCAACCUCCGCCUCAUUGCAUAUUAAACAUCUUUAUUUUUAUAA